rnacentral:rRNA from 1 species
GAUGAACGCUGGCGGCGUGCCUAAUACAUGCAAGUCGAGCGAACGGACGAGAAGCUUGCUUCCCUGCUGUUAGCGGCGGACGGGCGAGUAACGCGUGGAUAACCUACCUAUAAGACUGGGAUAACUUCGGGAAACCGUAGCUAAUACUGGAGAAUAUUUUGAACCGCAUGGUUCAAAAGUGAAAGACGGUCUUGCUGUCACUUAUAGAUGGGUCCGCGCUGCAUUAGCUAGUUGGUAAGGUAACGGCUUACCAAGGCAACGAUGCAUAGCCGACCUGAGAGGGUGAUCGGCCACACUGGAACUGAGACACGGUCCAGACUCCUACGGGAGGCAGCAGUGGGGAAUCUUCCGCAAUGGGCGAAAGCCUGACGGAGCAACGCCGCGUGAGUGAUGAAGGUCUUCGGAUCGUAAAGCUCUGUUAUUAGGGAAGAACAUAUGUGUAAGUAACUGUGCACAUCUUGACGGUACCUAAUCAGAAAGCCACGGCUAACUACGUG